GAUGAACGCUAGCGGCAGGCCUAAUACAUGCAAGUCGAACGGCAGCGGGUGUAGCAAUACAUGCCGGCGAGUGGCGCACGGGUGCGUAACGCGUAUGCAACCUACCCAUAACAGGGGGAUAGCCCGGAGAAAUUCGGAUUAAUACCCCAUAACAUAAUUGAUGUGGCAUCACAUUAUUAUUAAAGCUACAAAGCGGUUAUGGAUGGGCAUGCGUGACAUUAGUUUGUUGGUGAGGUAACGGCUCACCAAGACUACGAUGUCUAGGGGUUCUGAGAGGCUGAUCCCCCACACUGGUACUGAGACACGGACCAGACUCAUACGGGAGGCAGCAGUAAGGAAUAUUGGGCAAUGGAGGCAACUCUGACCCAGCCAUGCCGCGUGAAGGAUGAAGGCCCUAUGGGUUGUAAACUUCUUUUGUAUGGGAAUAAACGCAGUUACGUGUAACUGUUUGAAUGUACCAUAAGAAUAAGCACCGGCUAACUCCGUGCCAGCAGCCGCCGCAGUAA
rnacentral:rRNA from 1 species